rnacentral:ncRNA from 1 species
AAAGAUACAGGUUCUGUAUGUUACAGAUGAAAAGGGAAUGCGGUGAAAAGCCGCAGCAGCUCACUCUACUGUAAGGGAUAGCGAACGCCAAAGACCACUGCCCAAAUAAAGUAUGGCGGGAAGGUGGCAAGUAGAUAAGAAACCCAAGCCAGGAGACCUGCCUGUAAUUAUUG